rnacentral:rRNA from 1 species
UACGGAAGGCAGCAGUGGGGAAUAUUGCACAAUGGGCGCAAGCCUGAUGCAGCCAUGCCGCGUGUAUGAAGAAGGCCUUCGGGUUGUAAAGUGCUUUCAGUCGUGAGGAAGGUGUUAAGGUUAAUAACCUUAGCAAUUGACGUUAGCGACAGAAGAAGCACCGGCUAACUCCGUGCCAGCAGCCGCGGUAAUACGGAGGGUGCGAGCGUUAAUCGGAAUUACUGGGCGUAAAGGGCACGCAGGCGGUUAAUUAAGUUGGAUGUGAAAUCCCCGGGCUUAACCUGGGAAUGGCAUUCAAGACUGGUUAGCUAGAGUCUUGUAGAGGGGGUAGAAUUCCAUGUGUAGCGGUGAAAUGCGUAGAGAUGUGGAGGAAUACCGGUGGCGAAGGCGGCCCCUGGACAAAGACUGACGCUCAUGUGCGAAAGCGUGGGGAGCAAACAGGAUUAGAUACC